rnacentral:misc_RNA from 1 species
UCUCCGUAGGUGAACCUGCGGAGGGAUCAUUCACAUGAUUAUACCUCUUUAAACAAACUGUGAACUUUAUUUACUAUUCGUGUUUUUUAUUAGAAUUUAUUCUAUUAAUUACACUGUCAUUCGAUGAACAUUAGAUAGCUGGCUCGUUUUUUAUUAAACUUUCUCAGCUGAUUUGUUUUUAUGACUAAACAUCAUAAAUCAAUCAACCAAACAUAGAAACAACUCUAUGCCCUGGAUAUCUUGGUUCUCGUAUCGAUGAAGAACGCAGC